rnacentral:tRNA from 1 species
GGUGGUAGAGCUCAGUGGUAGAGUGCAUGCUUUGCAUGCAUGAGGUCCUAGGUUCAAUCCCCAGUACCACCA